CUCCAGCCCUUCCGGGUCGGCGGGCGGGCCGGGCCGGGCGCGGAGCGGGGAGGCAGAGCGGGAGCGGCGCCGUCCCCGGCCCGGAUAUGGAUAACAGCAAGGAUGAAAAAAGUAGGACGCUGUGUGCAACUUCAGAAGAAGGCUGAAGGUCCGAGGAAAAGAAAAAAGGAAACAAAAACGCAGUAGAAGCAGAUCGUCAUCUGUUUCAUCCACAUCAUCUUCUAGCACCACAUCCACUUCUUCCUCCUCGUCACGCUCUUCAUCAAGGUCAUCUUCUUCGAGUAGUAGAGAUUCUCCUAAGUCUAAAUCAAAGAAAAGGAAAAAAGAAAAACACAACAAAAAGAAAAGGAAAAAAGAGAACAAAAUGAAGAAAAAGAAAGAAAAGAAGAAAAAGAGAGAGAAAACAGGACCUGUCCAGCUUUCCAAGUUCUUUAAAAACAAAAAGAAGAAUGAAAACUACAGCAUGAUAACAGGAAAGAAAAUUAAGAUGAAAAUUAAGAAGACUAAGGAAGAUAUAGAGAGAGACCGGAACCGUGCACAGCUCCUGGAAUUUCUGAACUCUGCCUUGUAAUGGGAAGAGUGCUGGCCAAGGACUUGUAGAUAUACCAAGUCAAUAAUCAUCAUGCCUAGCAAAACACUAAAGGGAAACUCAGGGAAAAGGAUGCCAAGUUCCACAAGACCAGACCCUCCUGCCGAGAAGACAAUCGGGUUGUCCUUUUUUAAUGGCAAAACGAAGAGUAGCUAAUAACUUGCUAAUGAAGAUCCAUGUCCUCCUUUUGAGAUCCUAAGGUAAUAGCCAGGCUGUGGUGUUUUAGAAAAGCCCAGGAAUGUGUCAUCGACAACAUAUAAGAUAUGACACACUGAAGUCAAGUGAUAUAAUUUCUAUCCUAACUGCAUGCAGAAUGCACUCUUUAUUUCAAAUGUCUUAAUUUUUCUAGUAGUUUAAGCAGAGUAUUUGUAAAUGCCUGUUUUAAAAGAUGAGGUGUUUCUUAUACGGUUUUUUUUUCUGGUAGUAGUUGUACUGAAGAGCAAAUUGAUCUCUGUAAAUAGAACAUACUUUUACAUAAAUGAUUUUUUUGAAAGUUCA